ensembl:lincRNA
GGGGCGUAAACCGGAACCUGGCGGCGGGUUCCGCCCUCGCGCCGGGGAGGAGUCCGGGAGCGGAGCUGGAGCUGGAGCAUCUCUCACACCCUCCUCGCCCUCCCCACCGACAUCAUGCUCCAGUUCCUGCUUGGAUUUACUUUGGGCAACGUGGUUGGAAUGUAUCUGGCUCAGAACUAUGAAAUGCCAAACCUGGCUAAAAAACUUGAAGAGAUUAAAAAGGACCUGGAAGCCAAGAAGAAGCCCCCUAGUUCCUGAUGCCGGCCUGGCACUGCAUUCUGGACCCACCUGUUCCGUCCUGGGGGGGGCCUGUCUCCUUCAGAGCCACAUCCAAAGCUGUGUUCCUCUUUGGUCUCAGACUCUGCGUGAUGCCUCAGAUCCAGCAGGGGCCAGAAGUCGAGUUAGCUUUAGGUGUCCAGCAUCUCCCCUUCUCGGUAUCUUCUGUCCAGCUGCUUCUGAGUCCUAAGACUGGAACCAUGGUGCUCGGUUAGCAACUACAACCCUAACAGUACUCACUCACCGUGCUCUGGGAGUCUUAGCACCUACUGUCAAGAAAUGAAUGGAUCUGGAUAGCUACUGGGGAUUUACUGACUAGCAGUGAUAACAGGAGCUUGCUAGACAAACUAAAUUGUGUUAAAAUCAUUAAAGUCAGUAUCUUCAAGCCAGUUUCUGGUGAAUUAAUCCAUUUAUUAUAUAUUGUUACCAAAGAGCUUCAUGGUUGAUAAUUUAAUCAGUAAAUCAUUUGCUUGUCAUUAACCAAGAAACUGUUUUAUGAAAUCUAUAAAAAACAAACAAGGAAAACUUAAAACAUGCAAAGUAACUGUUGUCUGUGUACAGUUCAGUCUAUGUAGUCUGUGUUUUUCCUUAUUGAUAUAUUUGAACCGAAUCUGCCGUCAAAAGAGCCAUUCUUUAUGCUGGCACUAGAUAAGAUGGGCGAAUAAAUAAGGAGCUGUUGAUAAAAGAAUGUUACUUUUUUUUUUUUUUAACAUUAAAUGGGUGCUAAUUGUAUAACUUUAUAGUGAACCCCCUAGGAGAAGUGUGGUGCAAAUGUGUGGUAAAGUGAGUCUCUCCGGGAGAUUCUGCCUCUCCCCACAGUUGAGGCAUCUUCCCGGAAUCAGGACAGAUCAUCAAGCAGCAGCAGCUUCAUUUUUUUUUUUUUUUUUUUUAAAGACAGUCUCCCAGCGUUACCCAGGGUGGUCUUGAGCUCCUUGGCUCAAGUAAUCCUCCUGCCUUAGCUUCCGGGUGCUGGGACCACAGGUGUGCACCAUGGUGUCCAGCCUAGUCUGUAAUGUUUUUAAUUAAAAAAUAUUUUAAAAUUAACUAUUCCCACAGGAGAUGAUACGAAAGUGAUUUCACAUGAAGGCUCUUUCUAGCCUCUGUCUUAUUGCUCAGGCAAUCCCUGGUGUCAGGUUCCUGUGUGCCUUUGAGAAGGAGUGUCUAACCACACAUGUGUUUUUGUUUUUGUUUUUUUGCUACAUACAUACAUAUAUAAAUAGUACAUAUGCUUUUUGUCUCUUCCUAUCAUUUUUGUUUUUACACAGUCAGUGAUAACCUUGAACUUCCAACCCUCCCUGCCUCUGCCUCUCAGGUACAGGGAUCGUAGGGCCGCACCACCAUGCCCAGCUGCGCUUUAUAAAGCUCUUUUUCUUUUCUUUCAUUUGCUUAUUUUUUGAGACAGGGCCUCACUGUGUAGCCCCAGCUGGCCUGGAACUCACUCUGUAGACCAGGCUGGCAUCAUAACUCCCAGAGAUCCGUCAUCUGCCCUUUGCCUCCUGAGUGCUGGGAUUAAAGGUGGCUCCCUCAUGCUUGGCUUGCUUCUUUAUUCUUAAUGGAGAGCAUCCCCCGUCAGCACGUUAACCAUCCCCCUGUUUACUGUGUGCGGUUCCACCGAAUGGGUGUUUCAUAAUUGUGCUACUGCUGAGUGCAUAGGUCGUUCUUUGCUGGUGUGGUGCUAGCACUGAACCUGCUGUCCAUAUCUGCCCAGGGUAGAGCUGUAAGAUAACGACUCUCACAGUCUAGUUUGCUAUGACACCGUGUGUCUUGUUUCAGAGGGCUUAUUGGGCAGCUUCACUGACAAUGAGUGGCUUUUUUGAAGAUAUUUUAGCAGACCACGGGUUGCAAAGAUAAGUUAAGAGACACCUGUUUUCCGGAAGGCGUUGCUACUUAGAGAUACAGUCUAUCCCUGUAAAGGUCAUCUGUAUGCUAGUCAGAGGCUGGCUUCUCCCUAGCAGUGGGGAAUGGGCAGGUGGUGUGUUCUUCUGAGACUCUGUCACACCUACCUCAUGAGGGCUUCCUGGGAAACAGUGAGAUGAUGUUAGACUGUGCUUUGCAAACUGUCCAAUAAAUAGUAGAUACCCAUUGGAAAA